UGGGCUCGGCUCCUCUGUAGCCACUGUCCACGUUAAUCAUGCCGUGGAUGUGUUUCCGGCAAAGCCAGCAGAGGGAGUUCGAGAUUAAUGGGUGGGUUCCAGGAUCUACCAAGAGAACCAUCCUCCGUGUUCAGGACCUCCCAAUCCGAUUCCAUGAGGGAUGAGGCAUGCCCCAAAGUGGGUCAAACGUUAAAAACCAUGCUGAAUGAAAGAAUUUGAAUGCUUCAGAUCUAAUGCUGGAGGGAAGUCUGCUGAAAUAGACUUCUAAAUGUCUAAAGCUGCAAUCUCAGCACAGACAGUCCAUUUAAUGUCCGGAUUCCUUCUUUCCUUCCAAUUCUGAGGGACAGAGGCCAACACGAGAGUGUAAGUAUUUUAUGUCAUUUCUUGCUCCAAACACACACCCACCCUAUGCACCGAGGUUGCUCCUUGUUCCUGGCCUUUAUCCAGUGCCAGUUUUCCUCAGACGGUGAGGACCUCCCGCGGGUGCAAACCACGGCAAGAACACAGCCGACAACAUGAGCAUUUGUGCCUGGAGGAGUCUGGAAAGCAUUCCCGGAGACGUGUGUAGAACAGCAGCUUCCAGCACAAAGAUCCGUCACUCAUGAGGUCAAGGCUCAAGUCUUAGAUGAAAUGAGAGCCAUGAGCUAGAGGAAAGCUCAUGCUCUGAUGGGAUUCUGUUUUCUCUGUACACUAGUAAAGUUGUCGCUUCUUAUUUACUCUGCAAUUUACCAAACUCCUCUCGCCUCUUCCCCUCAACUUCUGCAAUAGCCUGGGGGGCUGAGAAGGCUGAAGGCUGCUCCCCAGGAACACCCAACCCUCUCUUCCUGUGCAACACAGUGUAACUUCUCCCACCUGCUCUUAGACCCUUGGCUGCAAGAUUCAGUUCACAUCUCUCCUCACUGAAUAUACAGUUAACCCUAGAACAACCCGGGUUUGCAUUACACGG